rnacentral:lncRNA from 1 species
CUGGUAUAGCACCCUGCCCACAGGUACCAAUCCCCACCUUACUUGCUCGUACAUCAGUAAUAUAAUUGUUACCCCUGGUCUGAAAUCUUUAUGGAGCAUUUGACUUUGGUGAGAGACUCCUAGCUGAAGCUUUAUUAGGAUAGUCCUUCCUUUGAUGAUCUCUUUGACCAUACUUGAAACAUCUUUUAGAUCCACUUCUAUAUUCUCCAUGAUGAAACUUUCCACAAAUACCACAUUGGGGGACUUGGC